rnacentral:rRNA from 1 species
AUGAACGCUGGCGGCGUGCUUAACCCAUGCAAGUCGAACGAAGCACUUUAUUUGAUUUCCUUCGGGACUGAUUAUUUUGUGACUGAGUGGCGGACGGGUGAGUAACGCGUGGGUAACCUGCCUUGUACAGGGGGAUAACAGUUGGAAACGGCUGCUAAUACCGCAUAAGCGCACAGCAUCGCAUGAUGCAGUGUGAAAAACUCCGGUGGUAUAAGAUGGACCCGCGUUGGAUUAGCUAGUUGGUGAGGUAACGGCCCACCAAGGCGACGAUCCAUAGCCGAACCGGGAGGGGGGCCCGGCAACUUGGGAAUGGGACCCCGCCCAAAAUCCCAAGGGAGGCAGGAGUGGGGAAUAAUGGAAAAUGGGGGGAAGGCUGAUGGCGGGAAGGCGGGGGAGGGAAGAAGUAUUUCGGUAUGUAAAGCUCUAUCAGCAGGGAAGAUAAUGACGGUACCUGACUAAGAAGCACCGGCUAAAUACGUG